GUAUCUAUAAUAAUAAAGUUGCCCAGAAACUCUCCUCCUUGAGCCACCUCAGCAGAGGCUAUUCCAAAAUUGAACACGUGUCCACUUCUUAAAAAAGCUUUCGUAAUGUUCGUUUCUGUUUAUGAGCCAAUUGUUUUGGAUUCUGCUUAAUUUAUAAGGCCCAACUUUAUUUUUCAUACACUCAAUAACUUAAGUUUUGUCCAGCUCGGUGGCCCACCUUCUUAGGAGAGACGACGUAGCUCCUAAAGUCUUGACGCCUCCAGCAAUGGCUGUGUAACCGCUACCGUUUGCAUUCCUCUGGCGUAUUAAAUCAAACAGUCGAAGGUAACAGCUAAAACCUCCGGCUAUAAAUUUGCUCCAAAUCUGCGAUGAAUUUCCUCACCCCCAACGAAUUCAGUCAAGAUCAAUCUGUCAAUGACGAACUUUACCAAUGGAGAUGAUGACUUGAAAGCUGUGUGUUGUUCAAACACUAGGAGGCACGGAAUGACAAGAAAGGUGUCAAACUCAUGGGACUUCACAUGCUCCUAUCGUUGGUGUUAUCGGAAUUGAGACGAACCAUAAUCUUCAUUUCUUCCUGGACAAGAAACCUUUAUAAAACCUGAAACUUAAUCCCAGAAAGUCAAUUGCGUGUAAGCAGUGUUCCGGCCAGAGUAAAGAGAAUCAGAUCAAGAUCGAGUUUCCUAUGGAAGUAUCACAUUGCAUAGAAUCAAUUUCAGUUUGUUGUCAUUUGGAGGUAAAAUCCAUCUGGCAUUUGAUCUGUGACUCGAGAGAAAGUCAUUGUUUUCUGAAUCAGAAACUUGGGUUUAACAAACCAAGUCUUUCAGUUUCAUAGAAGGGUUUUGCGAGGUCAUUACACGACGUACCAGAGAGAGACAAAGAGUGAUAAAGAUGUUUAUGGAAAUGUAUUACUGCAUAAAAUUCAUAGAAAGUGAAAUCUUAUCAAUCGGAUUUAAAGUCAAUGCAUAAAAUGAUUUGUAAGUUGAUC